rnacentral:siRNA from 1 species
AAAUGCCUGCAAAGAUGGUUCAG